GGUAAUCUGGUGCUCACCAAAAGCUCAGUUCUUUAUAUACCAACUGUACAGAAAGAGGAGGCACAGUAAACCCAUCUCAUAUAUGCCUCAGUCCAGGACCUUUGCUAGAUCUAUAUUGUGAAUGUGGGGACCAAA